UCACUUUAAGUUCGGGCCUUGAAUUUCCGGCUGAGAUUAUAUCGAAUAUUCUCUUAUCACAAGUAAUUUACUUUUUAAAUCGGACCAGCACUAAUUUGUCAGACAAUCUUCAUUAGGGUUUGAGAGGAGGAGGGUAGAAGAGGAGACAUUAAUAAUGCUGUCGGAGUCGUGUCAUCAAAAAUCCGUCAAACCGAUUAAGCGACGACCAGAAGCCACAUUCAAAUACACAUUAAUGUCAGCUUAAGUCUGAGGCUGAAAUCGAGAGACGAAGACGGAAACGGAGACAGAGACGAAGGCGAAGACGAAGACCAGUCAAAAGGCAAAAGACCAGACUCGAUUUGCGAAUGCGAAUGUUCAAUGUUUAUACCUGGGCUAAGACCUGUCCCUAAAAAAAAGUGCCAAGGAGCGAGGGAUACUCUGCUCUUUAUUGUCGUCGUCGUCUUGUUUUUAUGGAUUUAUGUGUGGGUCGCCAAUGGCCAUUAACUGCAGGUAGCCCAAACCCGAAACCCAAAUACUAACCCGAAAUCCAUUUCAGCAUAGUUUAUGGGUUUUCUCUGAGCUAUUCGUGUCCACAUGUCGAAAUGAGUCGAGUCGAGUCGACUCGAUCGUGGUGCUGUGGUCUAUGCUUUUCUCACCCACAGCGGAGGGUGCAACGAUUAGUUCUGCUUCUGUUUUAAGUUUGGUUGCCUGUUGACCAAAAGUGUGAAAUUGACAAUUCCAUGCCCUGGGAAAUUAUGACAGAUUAUGCCAGCAAAACAGUUUUCCCACCUCACAGCAACCAAAAAAAACAAGAUUUCACAGCUGCUUAGCAAUUAAUACACUUGUCCAACGGCGUUUUUUUUUUUGUAUUUAAUCCGGAAGCUAAUUUAGUUUAAAUUUUGUUCGGCAAAUACUGUGAGAUCAUUUCUAUCGAAAUCUGCAAGUAUUCCCACGCCUCGAUCAAUAAUUCAAAUGAACUGGUUCCAGAUCUUGUUGUCAUUCUCUCUGCACGCGCUUCAAAUUCGAUUGACAUAGAAAACAAAGUUGUGUGUUAAUCGCUGUUUUGCAUAAUCUAAUAAUUAAAUAAGAAUUUAAUUCGA